UAAGGGAGUUUGGCCGCAUUUACCAGAAAAUGCGCAUGUGUUUGCUGAAGACGGUGACAUCCAGAGCAACAGAGGACAUUACAGCAGUCUGUCCACUCCGAGCGCAGGGCAUCAAAAGUUGGACAAGGUCAUGUUAAUGACUCAGCAUAACAUGACCCAGACUCUACUGCAGGGGCAUGUUGAUGCCAUGUGUCCAUGUUUUCCUGAUGAUAGAUGCAGACAUGGUCAUGAACCUGACAAGACCAUAGAGAUCAUAAGCCACGAGGAGGCUGACAGAGAUAAAACUGAGGAGAUGCUUGAAGAAAUUCAACCUAAACAGGCCACAGGGAAAGCAGACAUCCCUGAGGGGCCCUUGGAAGAAGACUUUCCUCCACUUCCACCUCCUGCCUCACCACGGGUGGACAGGCCACCACAGCAAGCCCCCGUCAGUAAAAGUGGCUCCUAUAAAGCAACUGUCUUAAAAGGAAAACCAAAGAUCCAAUUGCAUGGCGGCAAACCACAGAGGGCACAAAAACUAAAUCAAAAAGAACAUCCAAGAGUCUCAGCUAAAAACAUCCCCAAAAAUAGAAGCACAAACAGCCCAGGGCUUCAUUGACCAACCUAGUUCCCCCAAACAGAAAGUGGAUGCGGAGAGAAAGAAGACCAAUAAACAGCUGCCAAGUCAACGCCAGCUAACAGCAAACACACCAGUGAUGUGCUCGUCGAACCUUGGGUUUCCUUGUUCUGCAUCUGCUUCAUGAACACAACAGCCCAGGGCUCAUUGACCAACCUAGUCCCCCAAACAGAAAGUGGAUGCGGAGAGAAAGUUAUAGUGGAAGAACAAAGUUCAUUACCAAGGUGUUCCCAUCUACCUGUGUUUGCAGACUUCCAAAUGGCAGAUGAGAAGAUAAUACCUAAAGAUAACACAUUUAAAGGUGAAGACGUGGAGUUGGGCAGAAGUGCAGAUGGUGCCCACAUGGCACAAACCCGGGCUGGCAGCGGUACUGGGAGCGUGCAGAAUGCAGCUGGGCCUCUUCACAAUGCCAAAUGCCAUAAAUACCACGAGGAUGCCACUGUUGCAAAGACAAAGGCCACAGGUCCAGGCUCUGACAUGUCAGUGCCAGAAAAUAUGGACAGGAUCCAGACUUGGAACAGAAGUGGAAGGUGUCCCCUACAAAACACCCAGUUCUUUGCAGGAACGGGUCAUGGCACGUGGUCACUGCCGGCUAACUGCUUCCUGUGGUUCCCUGCACCUGAGGUACACCACAAAUUUGAGCAUUUGCACUGCUGACUUUUACUACCCUGUAAAAAAACAAACAAACAAAAAAAAUCAAUAUAAAAAGCAACAACAACAGCACCUAGUAAAAAAAUAUUAGAAAUGUAUUUUAAAUUAAUUUAUUCAAUGCUAAUUACUACAAAUAAAUUUGCAUAUUUAUGUGCUUAAUAAAAAUACUCUGCAAUUGUAGUAAACUGGUAUACUUAAAGUCUGCUAAAUUGGAACAACUAAUUUUGUACUUAAUGCACUUUUGGGAAGUAGUGCUGAAGUCCGUACUGUAUACUGAAGUAUAUUUGAUUGUGUUAAAGUGGAACAAUUGCAAGUAUACUUCAGGUACUCUUUAUCUUGCAUUUAAAGACUGAUAUUAUUCAAAGAUCAUAAAAUCCUUAUCAAUAGUGAUAAUAAAACACAUUUUUAGGCUUAAUAUUAAGAAAUUGGCAAGGCCAUGCUGCUAUUAAAACUUUUAAAAUAUACUGUACUGACAACCACCAUAAUAACACAAAUAACACAUACUGUAUCAAAGUUCAUAACAAGUUUCUCACCGUAUAUAGUAAGGGAACUUAAAGUUAACCA
rnacentral:lncRNA from 1 species